AGAGUUUGAUCAUGGCUCAGGAUGAACGCUAGCGGCAGGCCUAAUACAUGCAAGUCGAACGGUAAGUAGAGUAGCAAUACUUUACCUAGAGUGACGUACGGGUGCGUAACACGUAUGCAACCUACCCUUUACAGGCGGAUAGCUCGGGGAAACCCGAAUUAACCCGCCGUAGUAUAGUUGAAUGGCAUCAUUUGACUAUUAAAACUCCGGUGGUAAAGGAUGGGCAUGCGUCUGAUUAGUUAGUUGGUAGUGUAACGGACUACCAAGACGAUGAUCAGUAGGGGAACUGAGAGGUUGAUCCCCCACACUGGCACUGAGAUACGGGCCAGACUCCUACGGGAGGCAGCAGUAGGGAAUAUUGGUCAAUGGAUGCAAGUCUGAACCAGCCAUGCCGCGUGCAGGAAGAAGGCCUUCUGGGUUGUAAACUGCUUUUGUCAGGGGAUAAAAUUUCCUUGCGAGGAAAAUUGAAGGUACCUGGCGAAUAAGCCACGGCUAACUACGUGCCAGCAGCCGCGGUAAUACGUAGGUGGCAAGCGUUGUCCGGAUUUAUUGGGUUUAAAGGGUGCGUAGGCGGCCCUGUAAGUCAGUGGUGAAAUAUUUCAGCUCAACUGGAAUUGUGCCAUUGAUACUGCGGGGCUUGAGUACAGAUGAGGUAGGCGGAAUUGACGGUGUAGCGGUGAAAUGCUUAGAUAUCGUCAAGAACACCUAUAGCGAAGGCAGCUUACUAGGCUGUAACUGACGCUGAGGCACGAAAGUGUGGGGAUCAAACAGGAUUAGAUACCCCAGUAGUCC
rnacentral:rRNA from 1 species